AGGACGAACGCUGGCGGCGUGCCUAAUACAUGCAAGUCGAGCGGACAGAUGGGAGCUUGCUCCCUGAUGUUAGCGGCGGACGGGUGAGUAACACGUGGGUAACCUGCCUGUAAGACUGGGAUAACUCCGGGAAACCGGGGCUAAUACCGGAUGGUUGUCUGAACCGCAUGGUUCAGACAUAAAAGGUGGCUUCGGCUACCACUUACAGAUGGACCCGCGGCGCAUUAGCUAGUUGGUGAGGUAACGGCUCACCAAGGCGACGAUGCGUAGCCGACCUGAGAGGGUGAUCGGCCACACUGGGACUGAGACACGGCCCAGACUCCUACGGGAGGCAGCAGUAGGGAAUCUUCCGCAAUGGACGAAAGUCUGACGGAGCAACGCCGCGUGAGUGAUGAAGGUUUUCGGAUCGUAAAGCUCUGUUGUUAGGGAAGAACAAGUGCCGUUCAAAUAGGGCGGCACCUUGACGGUACCUAACCAGAAAGCCACGGCUAACUACGUGCCAGCAGCCGCGGUAAUACGUAGGUGGCAAGCGUUGUCCGGAAUUAUUGGGCGUAAAGGGCUCGCAGGCGGUUUCUUAAGUCUGAUGUGAAAGCCCCCGGCUCAACCGGGGAGGGUCAUUGGAAACUGGGGAACUUGAGUGCAGAAGAGGAGAGUGGAAUUCCACGUGUAGCGGUGAAAUGCGUAGAGAUGUGGAGGAACACCAGUGGCGAAGGCGACUCUCUGGUCUGUAACUGACGCUGAGGAGCGAAAGCGUGGGGAGCGAACAGGAUUAGAUACCCUGGUAGUCCACGCCGUAAACGAUGAGUGCUAAGUGUUAGGGGGUUUCCGCCCCUUA
rnacentral:rRNA from 1 species